rnacentral:rRNA from 1 species
AUAUCAAUAAGCGGAGGAAAAGAAACCAACAGGGAUUGCCUCAGUAACGGCGAGUGAAGCGGCAACAGCUCAAAUUUGAAAUCUGGCCGUAAGGUCCGAGUUGUAAUUUGUAGAGGAUGUUUUGGGCACCGCUGUGGGUUAAAUUUCUUGGAACAGAAUGUCAAAGAGGGUGAGAGUCCCGUCUUGGCCCGCGGUAGGACCUAUGUAAAACUCCUUCGACGAGUCGACUUGUUUGGGAAUGCAGGUCAAAAUGGGUGGUAAAUUUCAUCUAAAGCUAAAUAUUGGCCAGAGACCGAUAGCGCACAAGUA